CUUUCCUUCGGGACAGAGGAGACAGGUGGUGCAUGGUUGUCGUCAGCUCGUGUCGUGAGAUGUUGGGUUAAGUCCCGCAACGAGCGCAACCCUUAUGCUUAGUUGCCAGCAGGUCAAGCUGGGCACUCUAAGCAGACUGCCGGUGACAAACCGGAGGAAGGUGGGGAUGACGUCAAAUCAUCAUGCCCCUUAUGACCUGGGCUACACACGUACUACAAUGGCCGGUACAACGGGAAGCGAAAUCGCGAGGUGGAGCCAAUCCUAGAAAAGCCGGUCUCAGUUCGGAUUGUAGGCUGCAACUCGCCUACAUGAAGUCGGAAUUGCUAGUAAUCGCGGAUCAGCAUGCCGCGGUGAAUACGUUCCCGGGUCUUGUACACACCGCCCGUCACACCACGAGAGUUUACAACACCCGAAGUCGGUGGGGUAACCCGCAAGGGAGCCAGCCGCCGAAGGUGGGGUAGAUGAUUGGGGUGAAGUCGUAACAAGGUAGCCGUAUCGGAAGGUGCGGCUGGAUCACCUCCUUUCUAUGGAGA
rnacentral:rRNA from 2 species